rnacentral:lncRNA from 1 species
UUAAUAAUUAAUUGGACUUUCUCCACAGCUCUGGUUUCUUUUGCAAUGCCCCUACCCCUCAGGAGCUGACUGCAAGCUCACACAGGUGAUGUUCCUUAAAUCCUUAACUCCCAGAAGGACAGACUUGCAUCAGAACCUCCACUUUCAUCUCACCUCAGCUCACCUCAUCUCAUCUCAUCUCUUACCUGGGCCAAGACAAGCUAGGAAACAUGACCCCUUUGACAACCCAGCAAAAGCUGAAGGAAGUGCUGCCCAUCUCACCCUUCAUGGAGAACACUGGACAAGAGGAGUUGAGGCCACUACCCUGUCUGCUGUGAGCUUCCCAGCUUGUCCACCUGGGAAUUGUAAAAUUCCACGUACAGUAAGAGCAGACUGUAGCCCUGAACCUCUACAAUUCCAAAUACAAGCAAAGAUAAUGACUUUUUAAAAGUAAAGAACAAAUUGUUCCACAAAAAAUGAGCACAAUCACAAAAAGAAGCAUAAACUUCUCCUGCCUAGUGGUGGCUUCCAAGACGUCAGACAUUUUGUAAACCAGCAAUCGGAUCCAGACCACGCAGAAUUGGGACGGUCCUGCUUUUCCUGUUCAUUUUUCCACUAUGUGAGUGUCCAAAACUCUCAGAAAUAAAGGAUUACUGUCUAGGGGUUCA